rnacentral:rRNA from 1 species
UACGUAGGGGCAAGCGUUGUCCGGAUUUAUUGGGCGUAAAGAGCGUGUAGGCGGCUAGGUAGGUCCGUUGUGAAAACUCGAGGCUCAACCUCGAGACGUCGAUGGAAACCAUCUAGCUAGAGUCCGGAAGAGGAGAGUGGAAUUCCUGGUGUAGCGGUGGAAUGCGCAGAUAUCAGGAGGAACACCAAUAGCGAAGGCAGCUCGCUGGGACGUUACUGACACUGAGGCGCGAAAAGCGU